GACGAACGCUGGCGGCGUGCUUAACACAUGCAAGUCGAACGAUGAAGAAGAGCUUGCUCUUCGGAUUAGUGGCGAACGGGUGAGUAACACGUGACUAACCUGCCCCUUUCUCUGGGAUAACGCUCCGAAAGGAGUGCUAAUACCGGAUACUCACAUCUAGGCACAUGCCUUGAUGUGGAAAGUUUUUCGGAAAGUGAUGGAGUCGCGGCCUAUCAGCUUGUUGGUGGGGUAACGGCUGACCAAGGCGACGACGGGUAGCCGGCCUGAGAGGGCGACCGGCCACACUGGGACUGAGACACGGCCCAGACUCCUACGGGAGGCAGCAGUGGGGAAUAUUGCACAAUGGGCGAAAGCCUGAUGCAGCGACGCCGCGUGAGGGAUGAAGGUCUUCGGAUUGUAAACCUCUUUCAGUAGGGACGAAGCGAAAGUGACGGUACCUAAAGAAGAAGCACCGGCUAACUACGUGCCAGCAGCCGCGGUAA
rnacentral:rRNA from 1 species